rnacentral:tRNA from 1 species
GCGAGGGUGGCGGAAUUGGUAGACGCGCUAGCUUCAGGUGUUAGUGUCCUAUGACGUGGGGGUUCAAGUCCCCCUUUCGCACCA